CACACAUGAUUGAAGGUGUAUCCAUUCAUUGUAGUCUGUCAAGUGUAGUUCUAGCAGUAAAGUAGAAGCUGAAAAAUAACUUGAACACCCGGCCAUGUUUACCUCCACUGCCCCACUGGUUGAACCGUCCAGUUGUAAUGCAGGAGAGCAGUUUUUUUUGUUGCCGAUGUUAUUUCCCUACUCGCAUGCUCUUUGCUUUGUCACUUAGAAAUUGCAGUGGUAACUUAGUUAAAGAAGACUUGAAUUCGUUAGCACUGACAGAUGAUCAUAUUAUCACUUACAAAAUGUCCGGCAUGCUGCAAUUAAGCGUUUUCCAUAUAUCUGAUAUUUAAUAACUUCUAACAUGAUUUUGUGUGUUAUUCAUCUUUUCUGAUACCAAAACUAUCACAUACCUGAUAUUUUAUAUGCUUAUAGGCUUGCAGCAGUUUCCGCUCUCAGGGUUUUAUUCCUCCAUGUUCUUCUCUUUGUGUGCACCCCUCCCGCAGCUCCAUGUUUUUUGCCUGACCAUUUGGGAUCAGAAUUUAGCCACUUCAAACCUUCUGCAUCCCUUUUUUCGUGUGAUUAAUUAGUGCUGCGCAAGAUUUAACAAAGCAUUCUUGCUGACAAUCAAUCCUCUAUUGCAUUCACUCACAUAUUUGCAAUCAAACGAGUAUAUAUGCUUAUGAUGAUGUUGGAGCCUAAGGAUAUCAUGUUUGAUAGUGACGACGAUGAUGUCAGGUCCUACAUUGAUAUUCUCUUAGUGCUGCAUUUAUACUUAAGCCGCCAUUCGGUAGCAGCAAUUGUUAAUUCGAAAUAGUGUUAGAUAUAUUUUUUCACAGAAGUUCAUAUGUGGAGCCAACAUUUGUGCAAUCUACAUGUUAAUAUGGGCGCAGCUCCUAACGCAAGGCUUAGAGUUUUGAUGUGUUUACCUUCAUUCUCUGCGUCGGUGGCGGCGUGGGCACUCUGCAGCAACGCCCACGGAGGAUGGCAGCAUUGAGGGCCGCCCGUGGGGAGAAGACGAGGAAGAGGAUAAUGCAGUGGGGCAGACGAAAAUGAGUUUGCUCGAUGGAUUUGAUCCGAUGGUCGCGUGCCCGGACGACGCAAUGCAUGCGAUCCGCCGGAUGAUUAGCAGUGUUUUCCAUAUAUUUAUUGGCUAUGUUGACAGGGUAGCUUUUGCUCAUAUGGUGUCAACAUAGCACUGCCUUGAAUUGGAUUUCUUUCAUAGUCCCUGUCUGGUGCAUUGUACAUGUAUUUUUUUUUCAUUUUCGCAUUAAUUGAGUUGUUGCUUUGAAAUUUCUUGAGAUUCUUUGUUCCAAAAGAGGGCCCUUAUGUUAAGGCCAGUUUGCAGAUCGCCUUUUCUUUGCUCACAUUGUGCCAUGAUUUGUCUCCUUACUCCUCUUGCUUGUUCCAUUUUUUGCAUUCUGCAUUUCUCCAGCUUCCCUGAUGAUUCGGAGUCUCAUACUCAUGAUUCAGGGAGAUGGAAGCAUCGACAAUGCUCUAGCAUGUCCUUUACUGAACUGAUGACGUAUCAACGACAUCAAUAUUCAGAGACUUUAAUAUUGCCAGUUCAGAAAGCAUAUCCUUGAGCAAACUGGAGAAAAGAACCUGAGCUUGAGAGGGAAACACCACCAUCUCGAAAGCUGCCGAAGACCACAGGUUUUGGGAACCACAAGUCAAACAAGCGGAGGAAGCUCCAUUAUAACCUUCUCAGACAAGGGAAAUCGAAAUGGGCUGCAAGUUAGGCUAGACCUAGCUCCUAUACUUCAUUAUGUACUAUGUAUCUGAUCUGAUCUGUUCGUUGUUCCCUAGAUUAUUUUUGUAGUACCAUGUAGCCAAGUUGAACCUGUAGUGCUAUAUCUGUUGUUUAACUUAGUGAGAGGCCUAUUUCUGCAUUUCAUAUCUUGCUCUGGGAGGUUUUUCUUUUUGCACUUCUUUUCUUCUUUUUGGUGGUGCUUUUUCUACAUUAUUAUUACUUUGCUGGAAGUUGUAAGAUUCUGCAACUACCGUGAGCAUUACACAUUUGUUAAUCUGUUUUGAUAUGUCGUGCA